AAUUGCAGAAUCCCGUGAACCAUCGAGUCUUUGAACGCAAGUUGCGCCCAAAGCCUUCGGGCCGAGGGCACGUCUGCCUGGGUGUCACGCACAGUCGCCCCUGCCGCACCGUCUCCUCGGUGAAGGCUUGGGGCCGGACGUUGGUCUCCCGCGAGCUGCGACCCGCGGAUGGCUUAAAAUGGAGUCCGUGACGCAGGACACCGCGUCGCAUGGUGGGUGAGGAAAUCUCGAGACCCGUCGCGGGUGUCGUCACGGUUCGGCACGACCUCGGAGCGCUGCUGUUGGCAGCGCCUUUCGAUGCGACCCCAGGUCAGGCGGGACUACCCGCUGAGUUUA
rnacentral:rRNA from 1 species